rnacentral:rRNA from 1 species
CAAACCUGCCUUAAGGAUGGGGAUAACAGACGGAAACGACUGCUAAUACCGAAUACGUUCUAAGCAUCGCAUGAUGCAUGGAAGAAAGGGUGGCCUCUACAAGAAAGCUAUCGCCUUAAGAGGGGUUUGCGACUGAUUAGGUAGUUGGUGAGGUAACGGCUCACCAAGCCGACGAUCAGUAGCCGGUCUGAGAGGAUGAACGGCCACACUGGAACUGAGACACGGUCCAG